rnacentral:rRNA from 1 species
UACGGAGGGAGCUAGCGUUGUUCGGAAUUACUGGGCGUAAAGCGCACGUAGGCGGCUGUUCAAGUCGGGGGUGAAAGCCUGUGGCUCAACCACAGAAUUGCCUUCGAUACUGAACGGCUGGAGACCGGAAGAGGUCAGUGGAACUGCGAGUGUAGAGGUGAAAUUCGUAGAUAUUCGCAAGAACACCAGUGGCGAAGGCGGCUGACUGGUCCGGUUCUGACGCUGAGGCGCGAAAGCGUGGGGAGCGAACCGG